rnacentral:snRNA from 1 species
GUGCUUGCUUCGGCAGCACAUAAACUAAAAUUGGAACGAUACAGAGAAGAUUAGCAUGGCCCCUGUGCAAGGAUAACACGCAAAUUUGUGAAGCGCUCCAUAUUUUU